GAUUUUUUUAAACUUAUAAAAGAAUCAUUUCUACCAAUGAUCAACUAGAGCCUUCAUUCCACAUUGGAUGGGUUGGUUUUCCUGGUUAUUUCUUCCUGUUAAUUCCUGAGGAUUCAUAAAUGCUUAACCAUGUUUUAAAAACAGAUGAUGGGAUUUCCACCUUCUGAAGUUAAGAUGGACAAGAAGAUGGUCCUUUCCAUCUUGCAGAAAAUCUCAUCCUUUCUUAACAUCCCUAAGGCUGUAAUUCCAGUUGCCAUUGAGAAGUAUUUAAGAGGCACAGAUGACCCAGCUAAGAGCAGAGAACUGCUCCUGCAGUUGAUUGCAGAUGUAACAUUUGGUGUCCCAUCUGAUCAUUUCCCGUGUCCACAGAGGUGAGUCGCAGAGGUUAGAUGGGAGAGAGGCACAGACUCUAAACUGCCCACCUCCUAGGAUAGAUUGAUGUAUGAACUUCUUAUGGUCAGGCCUCAGUGUCUGGUUUAGGGGAGGUCCCUGCUCUUAUUCUCAUAUGAGUCACAUGACUUAGUCUCAGCACUUUAGGAGUUGAUCCCUGGAAACACCACAGGAGAUCUGAGUGACACAGGAAGGAGAUGGAGCCUGAUCAGUGAUACACUGCCAGGCACAUACCCACUGUGGACAGCUGGUGCUGGGCAUCUCUUAGGACUAUCAGAUAACAGGUCUCAGGAUUAUUCCAUUUGAGCAGCAAGGGUGGGUAUUUAUUCAUCGAUACUCAAUUGUCAUUGGUUGAAGGUUUUUGCCUUUGAUCUGCUGUUCAACUGAGUUAUAUGUUGAAUUAAUAAAAGAGCUGCCAAUGCUAGAGGUAGAAAUCAGGCUUCUCUGAAUACAAAUGAGCCUCCACAGCAUUUGCUACCAGGGAUCCUUACUUGAAAUAAUGGUGAUCAAUGGGAUAGG
rnacentral:lncRNA from 1 species